CUUGUUGGAUGGUCAGUUUCAAGUUGUCGUGCGAUGCAAGCUUCCGUUUCACCACAUUUAUGCCUGUGAAAGGAGAGAGAUUGGAGGGAACAAGAAAUAAUUAUGUCACAGAGAGUGUUUGCCUUUUUAAAUUUGUCUUGUUUGCUCAUCUUUAUUAUGUGGGUGGAGGAGAAAGAGCAAACAGUGUUGUGUGUGCACAGCAACACUGAGACACUUUGAGAGAAAGCGGAAGCUCUGGCAGAUCCGGAGAAAGGGUUCGAGCAGCUUUUCCAAACUAAGAAAGUGCAAAUGAAGCAACAAACUGCAGCACCUGAGCCCUGGGUGAUGUUAGCGAGACAACCAACUUUGUGCUUCAGUGUCCAGUCAAGUUUCAGCAAGUUGCAUAGGUGCAACAGGCAAGGAAAGAAAACACAGGGACUCUAACACUUGCCCUAGGGAGACAAGAUGUCCUUCCUAAAGCAGGAAGCGUGGAUGCGGAUUUCCCGGCUCUGCACCAUCGCACCUGAAGCCUUACAUCACCAGGCAUUCUCUACCACACACAGGAGAAAGCAAACGCUGAGCCGCCCAGAUGGCCGGCAAGAGGAACCGACCCUCUUGCAAGACUCCCCUGACUUUAUGCCUUCUCAGCUUUAAAGGUACUUGCUAUUUCUUUCUUUAAUUAUUUCUCCCAUUUGUGUGUUCAAAACUGUAUCCAUUUCCAUUCAGAAGACAGACUGCCCAUGUUUGCUCAUCUAGCGUGUUCCCUCACCAUGAACUGUAUGCUGCCAUCUUCUCUAUAACCAGGUCCUGUUUCCCCAGCAUAACAUGCUGACUUCUCUCCUGCUUUGCAGCUUCAUUGAGGAGUUCCUAUCUUCGGGAUCACCCAAAGAAACUUAAUUGAAGAUAGAUGGCUCAGAAACUAUCUAGAUGACGGGACACUCACUACAAAGGACUUUGGCUCCUUAUGAAGUGAGUCAGAGCUACAUAUGCUGAGUUCUAGACCUACAAGGACAGAGUGAGAUAAACACUGGGGGCAGUGGGUGCUGCUUAUGUCUGGAAACUCUGGAUCAGCCACAACAUCUGGAGUAAACCACCCCUUUGGUUUAGCUCAUCUCCAUGGGAGCUCAACCUUUGAGACAGUUGGCCAAUCAGAGGUUGUAAUUUGCUCCUCCUCUCUCCACCCUUGGUCAUAAUUUGUCUCUUUAAUCAUUUUUCUAGUAGGGAAUAGAUUUCAAUGGAGCUAAUUUAAAUGGAAAAGCUUUCCUUAUUAAUUUAAAUUGCCCUUUCGCUGUUUGUUUGUCUUUGAAUUAACUAAUCCAUUCCCUAAUAGAAGUCAAACCAACACAAUUUAUGAAGUUUAAUUGACAUGCAACUCAAUGUUUUCUUUAAUCUUUCUUGUAUUGUGUAUACACAUGUGUGUAUAUUACAUGAGUUUGUGCAGAAUUGUGCAUGUGAGUAUAGGCCCACAUGUGCCCUGAUACCUAUUGUGAAGUCAAAAGACAACCUUGGGUACGAUCCUCACCUUCUCCUUGCUUAAGAGAGGCUCUUGUUCUGCACCUGUGUAAGUCAGACCGGGUGGCCCAUGAGUGUUCCCAUGUCCUGUUACCACUUCCCUUUUACUGUGUGCUACGGUGCUUGACUUUGUGUACGCUCUAGGGACUUGAACUCGGUUCUUUGCGUUUGCCUUUGUAAGGCAAGUUCUUUGUACACUGAGCUCCCCAGUUUCUGAUUUUUCUUCAUCUUUCACUAAGAGGUUUCUGCUUUCAGUAAAAAUGUUCAAUCCAAAUCAAGUUUGUCCAUCCAUCUUGCAUAUGAAGGAGACUAAAGGCAGUCAGUCUUUAAAUGCUAGUGACGGAUCUAUUUUAAUGGUUAGACUAAGAACUAAUUGUGAGCUAGAGCUGAGACGCUAAUGUAGCAGGCCCUGAACACAAAGCGGUUACAUAAAACAAAAGAAAAUGGCGGGUUGUUGGGACAGGUCCACAAACAGAGCUAUACAAAAAGAGUUCUGGGCUCUUGUAAGAAAACUCCAAGUAAGCAAGACGAAAGUCUUGUGACCUCUGUCUCCCCAUCACCGGGGCUGCUCUUGGAAUGUGCUCGUGUGCCCCUCCCGGGUGUAGUAAACAGGAGUGGGUUAGCUCGGAUUACCCGUCAUCUACUGUUAUGACUCAGACGAUGUUUCCAGGCUCGGGUUGUCCUCAUGACUGUAAUCAGCCUAAACCUGUGUCACCUUUGCUCAUUUGACCUUGCUCAACCCUCAUUAUAUAAUUUAUCUGAUGCUCUGAAGAAAUUUGCCUAUUGCGUGAGGCUUUAUUUGGCCUCGUUGUUAGGCCUCAAUCUCUCAGGUUCACAGUGCCGCUAGAGCAGGGACAUCCACCCUUGGAUGGGCACUGAUGGACCUGGCUGGUCUGGAGAAAAGUAAGAGCCUCAGAGCAAUGAAUUCGCAGUUUUCUAUGCUAAUAGUGAUUCUAUUACCCUUCAGCCAUUUGGAGGUGAAGUUGUUUAAUGGAGGAUCAAGUAGUGUGUAUGAGAGAGAGAGAGCGAGGGAAU